AUCUAGUUCUAAGCAAAAUACUGUAGAAAUACAAUUCCAUUUAAAAACAAACAAACAAACAAACAAACAAACAAACAAACAAAAAACCCAAACAACCCACUUUAAAGUUCUUGGCUUUAUUAUACGUAUCAGAGUCGUGGACCACAGUCACCUCCUACAGAGUGGUUCAGUCUCAAAAACAACAGAGUUCUGGGUGACCAACAGGAUCCUCUACCCUCCCUAAUACUACCUGUCAAUGCAGGAUAUGCUGGCGUGUCCACCAGUUACACAAUGUCCAAAGAAGAAGAUUUCAAAUCGUAUUUCAUCAAACUAGGUGCAUCCUGUGGGGAAGAAGAGAGUACACCACGUGUUUGAAGACAAUAGCAGGAUGCAAAGGUAAGGACCUGAAUUCAAGCUGCAUCACCAGCCUUAAUUCCAGCAUUGCCUUACAAGGCAAUGGUUUGGAUUUUCUAAUUUUUUAAUAUUGCUUUUUUUCCCUCUUCUAGUCCCAUCUCCAAACUCGUGUUUGGAGUGUCUUCAUGAAAUUUAAUUAGAAAAUUCUGUGUGUG
rnacentral:lncRNA from 1 species